GAGCGGUAGCACAAGAGAGCUUGCUCUCUGGGUGACGAGCGGCGGACGGGUGAGUAAUGUCUGGGAAACUGCCUGAUGGAGGGGGAUAACUACUGGAAACGGUAGCUAAUACCGCAUAACGUCCUACGGGAGAAAGCAGGGGACCUUCGGGCCUUGCGCUAUCAGAUGAGCCUAGGUCGGAUUAGCUAGUUGGUGGGGUAAUGGCUCACCAAGGCGACGAUCCGUAACUGGUCUGAGAGGAUGAUCAGUCACACUGGAACUGAGACACGGUCCAGACUCCUACGGGAGGCAGCAGUGGGGAAUAUUGGACAAUGGGCGAAAGCCUGAUCCAGCCAUGCCGCGUGUGUGAAGAAGGUCUUCGGAUUGUAAAGCACUUUAAGUUGGGAGGAAGGGCAGUAAGCGAAUACCUUGCUGUUUUGACGUUACCGACAGAAUAAGCACCGGCUAACUCUGUGCCAGCAGCCGCGGUAAUACAGAGGGUGCAAGCGUUAAUCGGAAUUACUGGGCGUAAAGCGCGCGUAGGUGGUUUGUUAAGUUGGAUGUGAAAGCCCCGGGCUCAACCUGGGAACUGCAUCCAAAACUGGCAAGCUAGAGUACAGUAGAGGGUGGUGGAAUUUCCUGUGUAGCGGUGAAAUGCGUAGAUAUAGGAAGGAACACCAGUGGCGAAGGCGACCACCUGGACUGAUACUGACACUGAGGUGCGAAAGCGUGGGGAGCAAACAGGAUUAGAUACCCUGGUAGUCCACGCCGUAAACGAUGUCAACUAGCCGUUGGAAUCCUUGAGAUUUUAGUGGCGCAGCUAACGCAUUAAGUUGACCGCCUGGGGAGUACGGCCGCAAGGUUAAAACUCAAAUGAAUUGACGGGGGCCCGCACAAGCGGUGGAGCAUGUGGUUUAAUUCGAUGCAACGCGAAGAACCUUACCUACUCUUGACAUCCAGCGAACUUUCCAGAGAUGGAUUGGUGCCUUCGGGAACGCUGAGACAGGUGCUGCAUGGCUGUCGUCAGCUCGUGUUGUGAAAUGUU
rnacentral:rRNA from 1 species